GACGAACGCUGGCGGCGUGCUUAACACAUGCAAGUCGAGCGAGGCCCCUCCUUCGGGAGGGUGUCCUAGCGGCGAACGGGUGAGUAACACGUGGGCAACCUGCCCUCAGCUCUGGGAUAACUCCGGGAAACCGGGGCUAAUACCGGAUACGACCUCCACGGGCAUCUGCGGAGGUGGAAAGUUUUUCGGCUGAGGAUGGGCCCGCGGCCUAUCAGCUAGUUGGUGGGGUAGUGGCCCACCAAGGCGACGACGGGUAGCCGGCCUGAGAGGGCGACCGGCCACACUGGGUCUGAGACACGGCCCAGACUCCUACGGGAGGCAGCAGUGGGGAAUAUUGCGCAAUGGGCGAAAGCCUGACGCAGCGACGCCGCGUGAGGGACGAAGGCCUUCGGGUUGUAAACCUCUUUCAGCAGGGACGAAGCGAAAGUGACGGUACCUGCAGAAGAAGCACCGGCCAACUACGUG
rnacentral:rRNA from 1 species